rnacentral:rRNA from 1 species
UACGGGAGAGGCAAGCGUUGUUCGGAAUCACUAGGCUUAAAGCGCGUGUAGGCGGCCUCGUAAGUACCUUGUGAAAGCCCUCGUCUCAACCGAGGAACUGCUUGGUAUACUGCGGGGCUUGAGGCAGGUAGGGGUGCUUGGAGCUCUAGGUGGAGCGGUGAAAUGCGUAGAGAUCUAGGGGAACGCCGGCGGCGAAAGCGGAGCACUGGGCCUGACCUGACGCUGAGACGCGAAAGCGUGGGUAGCAAACGGG